rnacentral:rRNA from 1 species
GUUUUUCGCUUUGAGAUGAGCCCGCGCGGGAUUAGCUAGUUGGUAGGGUAACGGCCUACCAAGGCUACGAUCUCUAGCUGGUCUUAGAGGAUGAUCAGCCACACUGGAACUGAGACACGGUCCAGACUCCUACGGGAGGCAGCAGUAGGGAAUAUUGCACAAUGGAGGAAACUCUGAUGCAGCGACGCCGCGUGAGUGAUGAAGGCCUUCGGGUCGUAAAGCUCUGUCGUACGGGACUAAGAAAGUG